rnacentral:sRNA from 1 species
AAAGUAGUAUAGUCAAGUUACAAAUUCAAAGUAGGGUGCGGUCUUACUUCAGAGAUACAAUCGAUUAUGCAACAGAGAACUAACAACCUAGGCAUUGAACUUACUUCAUUGAAUCAAAACAUGCUUAUCGGUUUGAAAUCAUCAUUAUCCCCUAUGCAAAUGAGCAAUCCUAAAUGCAAGCACACUAUAUACAAUCCUAAAAUGAUAAUGCAAUCUACAUGACACUCUGUUUUUGAUGAAAUCAUUUUCUGAAAUUUUUUACAAUUUUUAUGGUUUUUUUCUAUGCCUUAGAUGAU